UAGGGAAUAUUGGUCAAUGGACGAAAGUCUGAACCAGCCAUGCCGCGUGAAGGAUGAAGGCCCUCUGGGUCGUAAACUUCUUUUAUUAGGGAAGAAACCUCAGGAUGCGUCCUGAGCUGACGGUACUUAAUGAAUAAGGAUCGGCUAACUUCGUGCCAGCAGCCGCGGUAAGACGAAGGAUCCAAGCGUUGUCCGGAUUUACUGGGUUUAAAGGGUGCGUAGGCGGAAAAUUAAGUCAGUGGUGAAAGCCCGCAGCUCAACUGUGGAACUGCCAUUGAAACUGGUUUUCUUGAAUAUAGCUGAGGCAGAUGGAAUAUAACAUGUAGCGGUGAAAUGCUUAGAUAUGUUAUAGAACACCGAUUGCGAAGGCAGUCUGCUAAACUAUUAUUGACGCUGAGGCACGAAAGCGUGGGGAGCGAACAGGAUUAGAUACCCUAGUAGUCCACGCCCUAAACGUUGAUUACUCGCUGUUGGCGAUAUACUGUCAGUGGCUAAGCGAAAGCAUUAAGUAAUCCACCUGGGAAGUACGACCGCAAGGUUGAAACUCAAAGGAAUUGACGG
rnacentral:rRNA from 1 species